rnacentral:rRNA from 1 species
UACAGAGGUCCCAAGCGUUGUUCGGAUUCACUGGGCGUAAAGGGUGCGUAGGCGGUCGGGUAAGUCUGAUGUGAAAUCUCACAGCUUAACUGUGAAACUGCAUUGGAUACUAUUCGGCUUGAGAGUUGGAGGGGGGACUGGAAUUCUUGGUGUAGCAGUGAAAUGCGUAGAUAUCAAGAGGAACACCAAUGGCGAAGGCAGCUCACUGGGACGUUACUGACACUGAGACGCGAAAGCGUGGGGAGCAAACAGG